rnacentral:rRNA from 1 species
AACGAACGCUGGCGGCAGGCUUAACACAUGCAAGUCGAGCGCCCCGCAAGGGGAGCGGCAGACGGGUGAGUAACGCGUGGGAACAUACCCUUUCCUGCGGAAUAGCUCCGGGAAACUGGAAUUAAUACCGCAUACGCCCUACGGGGGAAAGAUUUAUCGGGGAAGGAUUGGCCCGCGUUGGAUUGGCUAGUUGGUGGGGUAAAGGCCUACCAAGGCGACGAUCCAUAGCUGGUCUGAGAGGAUGAUCAGCCACAUUGGGACUGAGACACGGCCCAAACUCCUACGGGAGGCAGCAGUGGGGAAUAUUGGACAAUGGGCGCAAGCCUGAUCCGGCCAUGCCGCGUGAGUGAUGAAGGCCUUAGGGUUGUAAAGCUCUUUCACCGGAGAAGAUAAUGACGGUAUCCGGAGAAGAAGCCCCGGCUAACUUCGUGCCAGCCGCCGCCGUAACAC